ensembl:lncRNA
CGGGGGAAGAAGCUCCCUGCUCUCCUCUGGGGAUCAGAUGACCAGCAGGCGUCGCCAUCUCACCACUAGGGGGUGUCUGUGCGUCGUACAUGCGCUUCCGUGGGAAAGAAGAAGAACGGCUGACGGAGACUAACGUUGUACCUGUUUACUUGUUACAUGUAUUUAAGCCCGCAGUUUCCACCCCCCGUGUUCCGCCCACUGCCACGUCCCUUUCUUUGGCUCGGCUGUGGCUCAUCUCGGCGAUCGCUUCUGGCUGGGUCAAACGCUUUGGCGCUAUGGCGCUUCCACGACACAUCGUCUGUCUUUCCGGUUACCAAACUGGCCCCCAGAUGAUUCUUGUCUCAACACAAACGGUAAUCUGCCCAGCAGACACAGUGACAAACGACUCCCGGUGGCUUCCCCCUCUACCUCACCCCGCUGCUCUCAGGCCCGAAUCAGUCACAUUAUCAAAUCAGCCCUCAGGUCUGCAAAAACUAGUUGACACUUGAUGGUGUGACGAGGAAGCAGCACUGUGCAGCCUCCAAAGGCCUGUUUACUGUGUAGAUAAAUACCCCUCCUGGUAGUAGCCUUAUUAAUGCAAACAGGUAGAUCUAAUAUGAUGUAUAUGCAGUGGGUGAUUUAUGUUUCCAUAGGUCUGUAAGAAAGAGGGAGACUUGUAAAAGGGAAGCAAAUAUUCCCCGGAGACAUUUGGUGUAAUCUCUAAUUGGUUAUUUACAGGCAAUGUUUGUAGUAUACAAAAGAAAAGCUCAACAGGAGCUUGCUUCGCUUGGGAGUUUAUCCCACUGGUCUCUUUCAAUCUAUCUGAAUGAGCUCACUUCAGGUAGCCGUACAAGGUUUGCUUAUCCUACUUAUCCCUACAAUGAUGUGCCUUUGUUGUGUGAUUGAUAGCCGAGACCUUAAGAAAAACAAACAUCCUGCUGUGCACGGCUGAGUUCCUGUGACAAACCCAUUGGGACUGCUUGGGGACGCAGGAAGCUGUCUAAUGUAGAGCAAAGCUUAAGGUGGCUUUGGAGUAUUUCAAAGAAAUUGCUACAUUUUGUGCUUUUCCUGCAACACUUGAGGGUUCAACCAACCCUUUGAUUCAUCACAAUAACUCAGUGUAUUUUCUAUUAUGUGCACCAAAACAGUCCUGUGAUGAACAUAAUGGAGUAAACGGUAUCAAUGUCACUAUAACGUCAGUGGCUAGAUAUAACUAAGCUCAUCUUUUCACUGUGCCAAACACAAUGUCAGGGAUACCAAGUCAAGUAAACAGUCUGCAGUCAGAAAACACUAUAAGCCAACAGAAUGCUGUGCUAACUUGGGUAGUAGAGUGCAUGAUUGCUUCAUAAAAUACUGUGGAAUGAGCAUCAGCUUAAAGCACAGAUUACGUUUUGUGGACACAAUUGGUGGUGUGAACGUUACAUGCCUCUUCCACCAAACCAUCGAACCAUGGACACGCCAUUUUCAUAGUUGCCGAUUCAUAGGCGAUUUGAAAAAGUGAGAUAACCUUUCACCGUUCCUCACAUGCUUUACCUUCCCCAACAGCAAACGUUUGACAAAGAAAGGGAUUCAGAGAUGACGGGGUCCUACAAUGUAUCACGUCUCAACAAAUCUACUGAAUUUAGUUGUGUUUUCUAAAGAUUAUAAAGAUUGUAAUGGGAAAAAUGUACGAACAGUUUAUCAAUCGCAAGUGCUGGGAUGGUGUGGCCCCGGGAAAGAAUGUGUGUCCCACUGAUAAGAUGUCCCCGGUCUCCUGGAUGUAGCGUAACAACAAGUUGGUGCUCAUGUGUUGGAUGUAAGUUUCUGUUCAUGCCACCUGUAACUGAACUGAGGUAUAAUAAUUCCUGUUGUGACAUUUUCCCUGGCAAGGAAAUAAACGGAGAGAGUCAUAUUUGAUUCAGAGCCUCUAUCUUAUUUUCCGAUUGUCUGUGUAAAUCUUCAAUCACAAGAUGCUAUUUAUCCAUUUUGGCUCUGACACCCCGUCCCACUCCCCUUCAUGCCUGCAAUCAGCUUUUAAAUCCAACAGCAAACGCUGGCUAUGAUCAUUCUAAACUAAACAUGUGCUUUUUGGCAUUAAUCAGAAUCCAAUGAUGUGUGGUUUAGUGACCAGAUGCAUAAAGAAUUCACAACCAACGCUCUGUGUGUAUAUAUAAAGAAAGAAUGUUGAUUCUGCGGGAGUAUAUAAGGAGAAGUGCAUUUCCUUGGCAUGCUCACUCCACAGAAUAUUUUUGACUGUGAACUGCGU